rnacentral:rRNA from 1 species
AGUGAACGCUGGCGGUAGGCCUAACACAUGCAAGUCGAACGGCAGCACAGGAGAGCUUGCUCUCUGGGUGGCGAGUGGCGGACGGGUGAGGAAUACAUCGGAAUCUACUUUGUCGUGGGGGAUAACGUAGGGAAACUUACGCUAAUACCGCAUACGACCUACGGGUGAAAGCAGGGGAUCUUCGGACCUUGCGCGAUUGAAUGAGCCGAUGUCGGAUUAGCUAGUUGGCGGGGUAAAGGCCCACCAAGGCGACGAUCCGUAGCUGGUCUGAGAGGAUGAUCAGCCACACUGGAACUGAGACACGGUCCAGACUCCUACGGGAGGCAGCAGUGGGGAAUAUUGGACAAUGGGCGCAAGCCUGAUCCAGCCAUACCGCGUGGGUGAAGAAGGCCUUCGGGUUGUAAAGCCCUUUUGUUGGGAAAGAAAUCCAGCCGGCUAAUACCUGGUUGGGAUGACGGUACCCAAAGAAUAAGCACCGGCUAACUUCGUGCCAGCAGCCGCGGUAAUACGAAGGGUGCAAGCGUUACUCGGAAUUACUGGGCGUAAAGCGUGCGUAGGUGGUUAUUUAAGUCCGUUGUGAAAGCCCUGGGCUCAACCUGGGGAACUGCAGUGGAUACUGGAUGACUAGAAUGUGGUAGAGGGUAGCGGAAUUCCUGGUGUAGCAGUGAAAUGCGUAGAGAUCAGGAGGAACAUCCAUGGCGAAGGCAGCUACCUGGACCAGCAUUGACACUGGAGGCACGAAAGCGUGGGGAGCAAACAGG